rnacentral:lncRNA from 1 species
CUCCGCCUUCCCCCGCAGCUGCACACCCCUUCCCCAGCCCCUUCAUCCCACCCUUUCCUCUCUUUGUGUUGAAAACUGGCUGAGGAGAGUAGGAAAUGCUGGUCCUUGGAAGCCCCAAAGGCCUCUUGGACUCGGAAAUGGCCUGCGUGCUCCUCCCACCCCAGGGGCCAAGGGGCGGCUGCGGGGAGGGGCGGGGGAGAGGUGGACACCGUCUUGUCUUGCCGGCUUUCCUGUGCCACAGCCACGGGGCCCCACCAGCUCUGCCUCCUGCAUGAAGCCUUAGGGUCACCCGGAAGCACAGAGGCCCCCGGGCAGGUGGAGGGCAGUGUGGGGGGCAGAGGGACGAGAAAGGACAGGACGAAAGGCCUCCUGGUCGAGCUCUUCCUCAGAGACUUGGCAGAGGCCUCACCUCCUCCAGGAAACUGCUGAGGAGCCUUCCACCCCAGGAUCUCGGGGAGAAUCUGAGAAACCCAGUGGCUGAAGGAACAGCCUCUCUCAAGGGUUCAGUUUCUCCUUGCUUGGGGACCCAUUUGUGUGAAGGUCUUGGGCCCUACCUCUCCAUGCCCAGGCUGCCCGGCAGGCCAGUGACUCUGCUCCUUUCCAGGAUUAAACCGAAGCCUGCAUCUUGAAAGUAUUUUUCUUUUCUUUUCUUUUCUUUUCUUUUCUUUUCUUUUCUUUUCUUUUCUUUUCUUUUUUUAAAUCAAGCUGUAACCUGGAAUUCAUGUUGUGGCUCAGUGGUAACAAAACUGACCAGAAUCAUCAAGGACUCGGGUUCGAUCCCUGGCCUCACUCAGUGGGUUAAGGAUCUGUCAUUGCCAUGAGCUGUGGUAUAGUUUGCAAAUGCGGCUCAGAUCCCACAUUGCUGUGGCGGUGGUGUAGGCCAGCAGCUGCAGCUCCAAUUUGACCCCUAGCCUGGGAACUUCCCUAUGCCACAGGUACAGCCCUAAAAAGACAACAACAACAACAAGGAUAAUAAUAAAAUCAAGCUAUAGCCUAAACUCACCUUGGGUCCCUCCCAGCCCCCAUUCCCUCAGCAUCUUUUGUUUCUUUAUGUUUUGCCAAUUCCCAAGUAAAACAAUUAAGACAUUACAGGUAAACAAAAAGAAGAAAAAUAUGUCACCAUCACUCCCCCAGCCAGUGUUGACAGUUCAGUGUAUUUCCUUCCAGCCUCUUUUUCCUCUGCUUUUGCAUAGCUUGGAGUUUCAGAGUUCAAAACAUCCUGGGCUUCCACCCUGAUGCUACCAGUACUUAAACCUCGAUGAAGGGGAUCACACAACCUACUCCACCAGCUGCUGGGAGGACAGACAGAAGAUGCUAGCUGUAAAGGGCUGGUGAGGGCUGAAUGAGUGAUCACAGCCCCAGUCAUCUAGAAUGCUCCCCUACUUACAUUCACUCUUGAGACAAGCGGGGCUCAGAGAGGUGGAGGGACUUGGCCAAGGUCACACAGCCAGAAAAUGGCCAAUUAGAACCCAGGCCAACCAACUUGCAGAGCAGCUCAGCCCCACCUCCCUGUGCUGCUGGAGAUCCAUACAGGGCUGAGGAGGCCCUUGCGCAUCCUGGCCGUCCCUACCCUCAUGUUCUCGACUUCGAAGACCCCAGGGCCACCAACAGAGCCUUCUUUCAGGCUGGGGCAGGGCAGGGCUGGCCACUUCCUCCCCCUCCGACUUGGCAGAAAAGGCUUUUUGUUGUGGCUCACAUAGAGCCCAUUCUCCUCCAGCUCACGGGAAGGAAUGGCCGGCUUCCUGUCCAUCCACCGCCGCCUAGGCUGCAGUGGACCUCAUGUAGGUCUGAGAGGAGCAGGGCUUUCUGCCCCCUCCACGUCCUCUAGUCUGCCUUGGGAGACAGAGGCUGCCAGGCUUUGCCCCUCAACCUGUGAAACCACUUAAGGAGGUUGGACACAGCUUCCCCUCAGCUAUCUCAGCCAAUGCUGGGAAUUCCAGGCCUUAGGGCACAGCAGGACUCCCUUGCCCCACUGUUCAAGUGGCCUCGUGACCCACAAACACUGGCGCAGCCCCUGCCAGGCUGCUUGCUCUGUCCCCAGUGUUCCAUGUACUUUCCUGCCUCUAUGCCUUUGCUUAUGCUGUUCCUUCCCACUGGAAAACCCUUCCCUGAACCUUUUAUCCUGUCCAAAUUGCACAGAUCCUUUAAGGUAGAGAUUAAACUUGCCUUUUCCAGAUUUCCACUCUCCCUCCUCAAGAUGAUUGAGUUUCUUUCCACCUCUGGCUCACCCAGCACUUGUGUCCUGACCGUUCUUUGCCUCUGACUCUAGUCUGCCCAUCCUUACAGGCACCCAGAUGCUGAGUGUGGCUCCAUCACUCACAGGCUAUGUGUCCCCAGGCAAGUCACUUCACCUUCCUGGGCCCAUGAACAGGAUGCGGCUAAUAGUCACACUUAUUUCAUACAGUUGUGAGGCUUAUGAGCUGAUCCAUGAACAUGUUGCGAACAGCCCACAGCAGGCUUUCAAUAGUUUAUUACUCAUCUCUCUGUUUUAGGUGCAGGUACCUGAUGGGCACCAAGGUGGCAUCCCUCCUUGCCUUCUUCUCCAGGAAUGUUUGUGGGAUGGGGUCAGAGGUCUGCAAACCCAGGGACAGGUGCCAGGGAAAGAGACAGACAUUCCUGCCCCACCAGCUCCCUUCCUCAGCUGCCAAGGCCUCCCCCCCUGCCGACCCUGGGGGCCCACCUCCUCCUCACCUGCCCUUCUUUCCAGACCCCGAGCAGGAGGUCCUGGCUCAGGUUUUCUCCCCAAGUGCUCCGGUCACCUCCCACCCCUACAUUUUUUACCCACCUGACCCUGCCAGAAAUAGCCUCCAAACUCCCCUUCUCUUGCAGCCAAUCUAACAGGCCCCUCCUGGAAAAACUAUAUCAUUCUCCUGCCAGCGUGGAUCACAGCAAUAAGCUGGAUUCCAUUAAGAAAUUAUUCCGAGUCAGUGGAAAGGGAGGGGCAGCAAUACCCCAACAAUUUCAUCGAAAAAAAUUACACAGCAUCAUCCUAAAACCUGGCGACUUCAGCCAGAUUAAGCUUCCUCUGCAAGUGGGGACUGGGCAAGGGCUGAUUUGGCCACAACCACCGACUGAGUCUUUGACCGGAUUUGCAGGCAGGACCCCUUCGCCCCCACCCCCUCUCACCACACCCCCCACACCACCUCCCCACUCCUGGUGGGGGCUCCUCUUCUGCACUUCGGAGCAAUUGAGGGCAGGGUGUUGUAGUUAACUGAGCUUUCCUGAUAAAGAGGCAUUUCUGAGCUUCACUCACACAUGCAGCACAGCCUUCAACACACAGAGUGGAGAGAUCUGCCCUCUGCAAAUAUCCCCCCAUUGUCCGGUGAGAGCAAGACACCCCCACCCCCUCUUCCUCCAGUCCAAGGAUUCUGGUAGAGCUGGCUCCAUUCCCUGGGGGUGGGGAAGGCAAGACCCAGCCAAUCAGGACCCCAGUACAUGAUCCAGGGGUGGGCAUAAAACUAUGUCUGGCCAAUCAGGGACUCCCUGUGACUUUCUGGUGCCUAGAGGAGAGAGAAGCUCUCUGUCUGCUGGGACUGCUGAGCUACUGGAGCGUGGCUCUGGAGCUGCUGAUGGGUCAUCUCGCCACCGCACGUAGAGAGUCUGCCUCAGAGCAGAGCCAGCAGAGGAAAUUAGAGCCUUAAGGAUUCUGGAAGGCACCAUUUGAGCACCUGAAUCCAUUCGGCCUGAAACUCUUUCAGUUAAAUGUACCAAUAAAUCCCUUUUAAAAUGUCU